rnacentral:rRNA from 1 species
UCUGGCUGCAGCACGUGCCUGCAACAAGAGAGCCCUUGUCGCCCUCAACUGAGUCUGAUUACAUAUUCCCUGGCCAUCAUUUUACACAGGGGAAAUAUUUAUAGCUCUAAGAUCGGCCUGUACGGUAUCAGCUUGUUGGUGAGGUAAUGGCUCACCAAGGCUAUGACGCCUAACUGGUUUGAGAGGAUGAUCAGUCACACUGGAACUGAGACACGGUCCAGACUCCUACGGGAGGCAGCAGUGGGGAAUAUUGCACAAUGGACGAAAGUCUGAUGCAGCAACGCCGCGUGGAGGAUGACACAUUUCGGUGCGUAAACUCCUUUUAUAUGAGAAGAAAAUGACGGUAUCAUAUGAAUAAGCGCCGGCUAACUCCGUGCCAGCAGCCGCGGUAAUACGGAGGGCGCAAGCGUUACUCGGAAUCACUGGGCGUAAAGAGCGUGUAGGCGGGUAUUUAAGUUGGAAGUGAAAUCCUAUGGCUCAACCAUAGAACUGCUUCCAAAACUGAAUACCUAGAAUAUGGGAGAGGUAGAUGGAAUUUCUGGUGUAGGGGUAAAAUCCGUAGAGAUCAAAAGGAAUACCGAUUGCGAAGGCGAUCUACUGGAACAUUAUUGACGGUGAGACGCGAAAGCGUGGGGAGCAAACAGGAUUAGAUACCCUGGUAGUCCACGCCNUAAACGAUGUACAUUAGUUGUUGCGAUGCUAGACAUUGCAGUAAUGCAGUUAACACAUUAAAUGUACCGCCUGGGGAGUACGGUCGCAAGAUUAAAACUCAAAGGAAUAGACGGGGACCCGCACAAGCGGUGGAGCAUGUGGUUUAAUUCGACGAUACGCGGAGAACCUUACCUGGCCUUGACAUAGAAAGAAUUUAGCAGAGAUGUAAAAGUGCUAGUUUACUAGAGCUUUCAUACAGGUGCUGCACGGCUGUCGUCAGCUCGUGUCGUGAGAUGUUAGGUUAAGUCCUGCAACGAGCGCAACCCUCGUGUUUAGUUACUAACAGUUCGGCUGAGGACUCUAGACAUACUGCCUGGGCAACCAGGAGGAAGGUGAGGACGACGUCAAGUCAUCAUGGCCCUUACGGCCAGGGCUACACACGUGCUACAAUGGGGUAUACAAAGAGCCGCAAUACCGCGAGGUGGAGCAAAUCUCAUAAAAUAUCUCCCAGUUCGGAUUACACUCUGCAANUNGAGUGUAU